GCUUUGUCUUCAACAUAAUAUAUUUAUUAAAUAAAUGUAACUGUGUAAUCAUGGAAUCUAAGCACAGGAGGAUUUCCAAGCUUCACCUCACAUCAAAUGCAGGCAUCAUAUAGCCUCUAGGCCUUGGGUUAUGUCAGGGAUUUUUGCUUUUCACUUAGACUUGCAGUUGUCUUUCUUAGAAGAUAUGAAACAUGUUGGUCCCACCUCUAGCCAAGUAAAAACAGGUAUGUGAAUAAAAUGACUAUCAAAACAGGUUCUUUUCAAAGCGUUGGAAAUAUUGGAUUUCUCUUGGCUGUGAAUGUAGUGGGAGUCUUGAUGUCUUCGUCAUAUUGGGGAGCUUUUUAUUCAGCAUACUAAAAACAUGUAUCUAGCAAUUUCUAGAGGGUGCCAGGACUUUUCUUGGGGUUAGAGUAAUGAAGAUGAUUAUACAAUGGCCUCUAUCCAGUUGACGCAACUGAUUAGAUUAGCUAAAUGUUACAGGGCACGGUGGUAUAAAAAAAUUCCUGGAAGACGGAAGAUUUUAUUCACCACAUAAGCAGUCAUGGGGUAGGUGUUCCACAACUAGUUGGAUGUGUCAAGGCACAGCAUCCUACAAAAACAUAGUCUGUUUUGAAAAAUUCAGUCUGCCUGAAGGUGGGUGGCUGGAGAAAAACUUGAGAAGUUAGGAGGGACCACAUCACCCAAUACCUGGUUAACCAACUAGGAGAGAUUUAAUGACUACCUGUAUAGCCAGCAGGAACAUUUAAUGUGGGGUACAAGAUCACCUUUGUUCUUUAGGAAGUUUGUAGUCAUUCAUAAAUCCAAAGGAAAAAGCAAAAAUUCAGGCCAUGUUAUGCCUCACAUGUAAAAUAGCCUGCUAUCCAGCCCUGGGCAUUGCAUUAUUCCAGUAAGGGCUAAUGUUGUAUAUUCUUCUCAACUAUUUCAAUAAAAAAUGUGGAGGAUACAUUCCAGUUGAAAGAUCACUUAUUUGAAUUUUACCUUUUAGUGCCAAGAUUGCAGGGAAAAAUAUCAUUUGUGAGCCUCUCGGAAGGUUGGCUGAUCUGCAGAUAGGAUAAAAUAUCCUGCAUGUACUCUCCAUUUGAUUUGUAAUUUACAUAGCAUCUCUUUGUUCAUCAAGGAACACCCUGCAUGACUUCCUGACACUGACCUGGAUUUUACUUAUGGCUGCCCUAAAUUGUGUUAUCAUGGUGUACCGGUUGUUCAGUAUUCAGCCUUGCUCCUCUGUAACUUAAUAUUAUGAUUUAUUUCUGACUUGGCUUUUCUUUAUCGAAUGCUGACUUUUUCUAAGAGGUUCAUGUGGAAAUGUGCUACAUGAAAAAAAAAAAAGGAGCACAGUUUGGCCUCAGGGCAAAAACAUGAAUACUGACCCAGGGACAUGAAUACAGGGCAGAAGAGAGAGUGGCACAGGCAACAAAAUUAACUCAUUUCUUUGCCUUUUGUGUGUUCCUAAGUGUGUGGAGUGACUCAAAUUUUAGCACAGAAAGUAAAGUUAGAAAGCAACUGCUAUUUGCCAACAACCCAUUCUUUAAUUCUCAAAGAUCAAAAAUUUGCUUGAAAACUGACAUUUUCAUUUUCUCCUGGCCCAGUGAACAAAGUUUUAAGGUUAUGUGGUCGCUCUGAUACCACCUAAGAAGCAAAUAUUUCUUGCAGUCUACUUCUAGAUGUGAAUGAACUGAAAGUAAAUGACUCAGAGAUGGAGUAAAUGUCCCUUGAAAUACACCCAAACUUAAUAAUUAGGAGAAGAGUGCUUGAAUAAACACAUUUAGAGUGUUAUUGAGCAUAUACAAGCUUAGAUGGUCCAUAUUUCUAAAAGACAGUGAGUCUAUAGCACAUUCUUCGGAGAUGAGAAAAUUAUGCCAUAAAUAAAAUUUGUAGUGGAGGCAUUUGUUUUAUCAUUCAGUUAAGUAGCAGGAAUUCUUUCAUACCUAGAGGGACUUAGGUAAAACUAAUAAACAGACAUACUUAACAACAAGAACAACAACAACAAAAAUAAAGCAUUACCAUUCAAGAGUGUGAAAUCACUUCUCUGAGAGCCUUUUUGGAUUGAAUAUUCUUUUUGGGCUGGUAAUGUCAAACUAAAACUUUACCUAAACACAGAUAACUAGGUGGCUCUUAGCAUACCUUUCAGGGCUUAUGGUCUCCAAUUAUUCCACUCACAUCCCCCUAUACAUUUCCAAAUCACCUCUUUCAGUGUCUCCAGUGUUUAAACAUGAACUGGAUAGAGUGUUGCAUGGUAGUAUUAAAUAAAAUUUAGCUUAAAGCUGUUUCCUUACAUAUUAUAAGUUCUGUCUAAAGGUUUCUACGUGCAUAGUAUACAUGUCAUUGAAAGUGUAAAUGGACUAUAACCUACUCUGAUACCAAUCACUGAGUUGUGGCCAAUCAAAGGUGGCCAACUGCUCAAACCACAUUCAAAUAUGGCAAAUGCUGAGCUGUAACCAAUCCCGUUGUUUCUGUACCUCAUUUCUGUUUUCUCUCUGUCACUUUUCUUUUUCUUUCCAUAAAUCUUCUUCAACCACCUGGCAGUGCCAGAGUUUCUCUGAACCCAUUCUGGCUUGGGGGAUGCCUGAUUCAUGAAUCAUUCUUUGCUCAAUUAAACUCUGUUUAAUUUAAUUUGUCUAAGGUUUUUCUUUUAACAGUAGAGAUAGGAGUACAACACACUUUGAGGUGUACAGGAGUGAGUUCAAAUCCUAGCUCUGUUAUUGGCUUGAUUUCUCAUCUUGAGCAAGGUACUUAGUUUCUCUGAGCCUUAGUUUCUGCACUUGUAAAUGUGGAGAAGUGAAACACCAGACUUGAGAGGAUGCUCUGCUAUCUGAACGAGGUAAUGGGAAAAUGCUCGGCCAGUGUUGUAACUCAAUCUUCUUAUCCAACAGUGAGCCCCUUGGGCACCCAGACCCAGACUCGCCCUUCUAGUCUCACGUCUUGCACUCUCUGGCACAUCUCAUGUAGGCUCUGUUGCCUGUCAUGUUUUCCAGUCCACAAAUACCCUUGGCAUGCUCUCAUGUCUGUACUUGGUCCACAUUAUUCUAACGUGAAUACAUGAAACUUCUAAUGACAGUGCAAUCUUUCUAGACAAUCUCUGAAGGAGAAAUGUUACUAGUCUGUGGUGAAUAUAAAAAUAGGCUCAUAGGGAAAAAAAACUGUGAUUGAAGGUAUAAUUCUGCAUUUUCUUGGGAUAUACAUAAAUAGCAAGUAGUCAUUUUUUACUUAAAAAAAAAAAAAGAAAUCUACAGAAAGAAAAUUUAGCUGUCUUUCUGUUGCUAACCUUCCAGGAGGCCUUGGUUCUCCUUUAAGGUUGAAGUUCGUUUGUGACAGGUUAGUGCUGCUCAUUUUUGUGGCUUUCCAGAAGCCACCGUGGAAAAGGCAGAAGUCUUCCCCUCCCAUUAUGCUGAGUCAGACAUGGCAUCUACAUGACUCAUCACCAAGUGGUUCUCCAGAAUUCACUUUGCUUGCUUUUCCCCAAUCCAGAUAAUCCUCGGGACUGGUAGCCACCCAACUCACUCCUGCACACUGUUCUUCCUCUUUGGAGGCACCCACCAUGCCUGUCUGAUGCUGCCCCUCAAGGUCACAUCGGAGUCUCCUGUACCUACCUUGUCUGUGGCUACCCAACUCUAUACAAUUUCUGAAGCUUUCAUAACACCCAGAUGGUCUAUAAUGUAAUAUGUGUUUAGAUAAUCCUCAGGCCAAAACAUCUUUCCAAAAUUUAACUGUAAAUCUGUCACUUCCAUGGGUUAUGUUAGUCUUUUCCAUGUUCAAAUGGCUAUCUGAGCUCCUGGGGAGGGGAAGUCACUCCCGGAGUUCUCUUUCCAUCAUUCAUAGUGUGAAUCUCACCUUGGGCUGGGAGGAAUUUGUGAUGGGCAUACAAGUGAGAAAAAGGGUGCAAAGGGGUGAGAUGGUAUGUUAGUCAGGGUUCUCUAGAGGGACAGAAUUAAUAGGAUAGAUGUAUAUACAAAGGGGAAUGUAUUAAGGAGUAUUAACUCACGAGAUCACAAGGUAAGGUUGCAUAAUAGGCCAUCUGCAACCUGAGGAGCAAGGAAGCCAGUCCAAGUCCCAAAGCUGAAGGACCUUGAGUCCAAUGUUUGAGGGCAGGAAGCAUCCAGCAUAUGGGAGAAAGAUGUAGGCUUGGAGGCUAAGCCAGUCUAAUCUUUUUUUUUUUUUUUGAGAUGGAGUUGCCCUCUGUCACCCAGGCUGGAGUGCAGUGGCGUGAUCUCAGCUCACUGCAACCUCCGCCUCCGCCUCGCAGUACCUGAGAUUACAGGUGCAUGCCAACACGGCUAAUUCUUGUAUUUUUAGUAGAUACAGGGUUUCACCAUGUUGGCCAGUUGGUCUGGAACGAACUCCUGACCUCAAGUGAUCCGCCCACCUCAGCCUCCGAAAGUUCUGCGAUUACAGGUGUGAGCCACUGUGCCUGGCCAAGCCUAAUCUUUCCACGUUCUUCUGCUUGCUUUUAUUCUAGUUACACUGUCAGCUGGUUAGAUGGUGCCCUCCCAGAUUGAAGGUAGAUCUGCGUUUCCCAGUCCACUGACUCAAAUGUUAAUCUCCUUUGGCAACGCCUUCACAGACACACCCAGAAUCAAUACAUUGCACCCUUCAAUCCAAUCAAGUUGACAUCCAGUAGUAACCAUCACAGAUGGCUAAUACGGGAGAUAUUCAUGAAGGGUCUGGGAAGGGGAUUUGGAAGAGAUAUGGACACAAAGGAAGGAGGAAAGAAAAGGGGAAGUGAGACGGGAACCAAACCAAACACCCUGUAUUGCACAAUUGAGCCUGGAGUUGGCCUGCUCGCCACAGAGCAGUCACAGGUUUUCAGGAUGCUUUAGUGAUAGCAGCCAUCAGUACCUCUCAUUAGGAGCAAAAGCCCUGAUUGGUAAUAGUAUAUUCUACUUAUUUAGAGAAUAAAAGUUCCCUGUUAGAACCAGCCUUCUCAGAAUGGCAUUCAGCUUUUCAGAAAAGCACAGCACCAGCAUAUUUCUUAUCUGCCUUGAAGGUUAUAAUAAAUCCCUUCUUCUGUUAAUUCAUAAAUCCUUCAGCCACAUGCCAUUUUGGGGCCAUAUGCUUUCUUUCCUCCCUCUAACCCUUGGAAAGAUCUUUCAUAUCCAAUCUCUGUAGAUAAUCUGAAUGUGAAAUCAGGUAUGGUUAUCUAAUCCCUCUAAUCAGAAGGUCAGCAGUUACCUGCAGCUUUUCCAUCUGUCCUCCAGCUGAAUGCUGCCAUUUAGUAAAUCAAAAAUUGGUUACAAAUUAGCAAAGCUGACUGGCUCAAUGAAAUCUAGCCUGGAGUCUUUGCUGGAAGGGGGGAAGUUUAAAUAUGGUUUGAAGGGAGAUUUGAGGUGAACUCUAUUUAUCAAAGCCGUGGAGUAGCAGCAUAAAAGAUGAGAGAUGUUCUCCUGGGUAAAAAUGUCAAAUCACAUGGGAAAUGGGAAUAUUUCACAUGGUGAUUACUGAAUUUUACAAUUGUUCGCAAAUUGAUUCAGCCCAGAAAUCAACUGGGAAGUCUCCCACAGGUGUCUAGCACUCUGCAGGUAUUAGCGUGAUACAGGGUAAGUCUCAAAGUACAAAAAAAAACACACAUGUGAAACAAUUUGCAAACAAUGAAGUGCUAACCUGUGUGGUGUGAAUUACAGAUGCAUUAGGACACCAGAAAAGGAAGAAAAGACAGUGGCAGCUGAAGACAUUUCAGGAAUGCUUCACUGAGAACCUAAGUCUUGUUCUGGGCCAUAAAGAAAAGGGGAGGGUGUGGUUUCUAUACCAGAGAUAAGAAAGGAGAAAAUUGGACGUGGAGGAAAGAUAUGAGUACCAAUCCGAGCGAACAAGGAAGAGUGAGUAAAUCUGUCCAGCUGGAGUUGGAGGUACAUUCUGGAAAAUGGUGAGAGAGGCUGUGUAGGGUAGGGGGACACGGAAAGAUGGGCCAAGACAUUUGGAGCUGAUAUUUGAUAUGGUUUGGCUGUGCCCCCACCCAAAUCUCAUCUUAAAUUGUAAUCCCCAUAAUCCCCACGUGUCGAGGGAGGGACCCGGUGGGAAGUGAUUGGAUCAUGGGGGCAGUUUUCCCCAUGGAAUUCUCGUGAUAGUGAGUGAGUUCUCACGAGAUCUCAUGGUUUUACAAGCGUCUGGUAUUUCACCUGAUUGCACUUCUCUCUUCUGCCUCCUAGUGAAAAAGGUGCCUGCUUCUCCUUCUGCCAUGAUUAUAAGUUUCCUGAGGCUUCCCCAGCCAUGCGUAACUCUCCUUCCCAUUUAUGAGAGAGCCACAUGACAUCAGCCCAUAGACUGUGGAGAGUAUUCCAGAUCUAUCACAUUCUGCGAUUCUGCGAUUCCCAGAAGGCUGGUCAUGAAAAAAUUCCCUCUUCAGUUUACAUAUAUGGCAGUGAUGCACAUUGUUCUUUUGGUUGUGAAAAAUUCGAAGAAGUAGAUGUGGUCCUGGUUGAUGGAUGAACAUUGAGGCCCUCAAGUGCAUAAAGGCACUUCUAGAUAUCUGUUGAGGCCUGGAAGGGGCAAAACAAUUCAGGAAGCAGUUGAAGAUAAAGGGGUUUACCAUGGAAGAGAAGAUCCAGGUGCCUUCAUGGAAAUGCUUGUGGUUGAAAAGAGAUGAAGAUGAGGGUCCCUGGAAAGAGGAAGAACCAGCCAGGAAAAUUAUACCAUUAGCAAGACUGGCAUCAGCAAGUAGUUCGCAGUGUUGGUUGUUCUUGGUUUCGCAGGAUUUUAUAGGAGAUGGACCUUCUCCUAAAAGUCUUAUCUUCUAAGUCUCCUAAGUCUUGGACUUUUCAAGGCCAAAGAUUUAAAGGCCAAGUGGACCAUACGGGAGAUCUAGUUUCCCAUCCAGACAGCCAAGCUCAUGCAUCCCUGGAUUUGGAUGGAUGGUUUCCCAUGGGGCCUUGGACAGAUUGGACCCAGCACUGGCACAGGGUUGACUUGGAGGAAUAAGCUCCUGGAAACCUCAAUUAGCGUUUGGGGUAUGAACAUUAAACAAUACUGAAUCUGGAAACAAUACAUCACACAGCGGGUCCAAGGAAAUAAGCAGAAGGCUGGCAGCAGGCCAGGGCCAGGGGCCAAAUCGCUCCUCAAAGACAAUUCUUCAUGGAGAAAUGACAGCAGGUUUGAGGACAGCAGAAUUUCGCUCUUGUUGCCCAGGGCUGGAGUGCAAUGGUGCAAUCUCGGCUCACCACAACCACUGCCUCCUGGGUUCAAGCGAUUCUCCUGCCUCAGCCUCCUGAGUAGCUGGGAUUACAGGAAGUACAAAAACAUCCUUGCCGUUUGCUGGAAUGAUGUACUGCUGAAGGCAAUGGACACUGGGGUUGUUUGUCCCUAAUCACAAAAUAAUUUGGACCAGUAUUUUUGAAGGAAGACGGAGACACCAGGUUUCAUAUAUCAUGGGGAAUUAAAGGUUGAACUAGACUGAAGCAAAUGGAUGAAAAAAGUAGAAUAUGGUAAAUCCAGAAUAUAAGAUCAAGAAGACAAAGGACAUUAUAUUGUCAGC
rnacentral:lncRNA from 1 species